rnacentral:rRNA from 1 species
UACGUAGGGUGCAAGCGUUAAUCGGAAUUACUGGGCGUAAAGCGUGCGCAGGCGGUGAUGUAAGACAGGUGUGAAAUCCCCGGGCUUAACCUGGGAACUGCAUUUGUGACUGCAUUGCUGGAGUGCGGCAGAGGGGGAUGGAAUUCCGCGUGUAGCAGUGAAAUGCGUAGAUAUGCGGAGGAACACCGAUGGCGAAGGCAAUCCCCCGGGCCUGCACUGACGCUCAUGCACGAAAGCGUGGGGAGCAAACAGG